GUUGACUAAGAUGUAAACAGCAGCUGAACCACCUAAAGGUGACAUGACAACAGAAAGCAGGCAGUUUCCUGUGCAAUAUGACCACCAAACAGUUGUGUGUUCUUGAAAUGAUUCUCUUAUACAUAGGUAGCAGUUGCUACAUUGUCCAAAUCUUCACAAUAUCCCACUUGUGAUGAAAAAAGAAGAACCAUUGCAAAGCCACAUAUGAACCUCAUGACCCAUUACAAGAGCAGAUCUUGAACCAUCUCUCUCUCCCUCUCUACACACACACACACACACACACAUACAUAUGUGUGUGUGUGUGUGUAUCAUAUGUAUAUAUAAGUAUAUGUAUGUAUAUCAUGUGUAUAUAUAUGUAUGUCUAUCAUGUGUGUGUCUACACACACACACACGUGAAUUUUAAUACUCUCCUGAAACAGGACAGUACCAUCAGUUUCAUACCACUCUGACAUGAAAAUGGCAUCAGGACAGGUGCCAAGUCGCUAAAACAGGUGAAAUUGGGAUGUGAAGCUGACUUGAUUGGUACUAACAAAUAUCAAGCCAGUAUAAAGCCAUCCUGAUUUGGAGAGAUUUCUUUUAUUUUUUAAAGAUGGGAACAGGAUGAACGGGCCAUUCCAAUCGAUACAAGGUUUAGCAUGUGCCAACGGAGAGUAAUUUUUCCGGAAGGUGGAGAACCAAUGUUAGUGGACCCAGAGUGAAGUAGGGAAGACAAAUUGAUCAGGUAUCAAACAUGGUACAAAAUCAUGCUAGAAAUAGAAUUUUUUGACUCAAUAAUGAAAGCAAGCAUGCAAAGAGUAUUCAACCACAAAGGUGAAAACUAAUACCAGCUCUAAUAAAAAAUCUCUAGGACUUUGGCCAAAAACCCCUAAAUUCCAUUUGCUCACAUGCUCAAUCAUGGGAUGAAAAUAAAAAUUAAAUAUUGAGCUGUCAAAGUUCCAACUGUGACUCUUUGGACUUUGCAUCCAUCUAUCUAAAUAGAUAUAGGUUUUGACCAUGAGUGCUUAAGGACUACAAAACAAAUCUAUUCCUUGUGAUAGAAAUAAUUAACUCCAAUAGUUGAUUGUAUUAUAAGACAACAAAUGCCAAUUAGAUCAAUACAGUAGACAAUCCAGUGAACUAUAAUUCAUUCCAUAUCCAUGUUGCACAUCAAAAAAGCAAAACAAGAUCGACUAAAUAUCCAUAUCACAUAUCAAAAUUCCAAAUAUUGAAAAACUAAAAAGGAAAAAAAAUCUCAAAUUUGUGUAUCAUUAUGCACCACCAUCCCAAGAUUUGGUAAGGUAUAAGUUAGUAUUGCACCAUUACCGGAAAAAACUGGUACCACCUUCAAUAUCCGUAUUUUGAUCCUAGUAGGUACACAAAUAUAUAUUUGCAUCAUCUCCUCAUUUCCACA
rnacentral:lncRNA from 1 species